AGCCCAGGUCAUUUUUCAAAAGUAUUUACUUUCACCUGCUGGGAAAAGGCCUCAGCAAACAUUUAUCAAGUGCCUCCUUGGUGCCUGGGGCUGACUGAGGAGUGGGAGGGGAGUUUGGCUUACUUAGCAAACACUCUGCUUGACCCACGAGGAAGAGAGGAGACCUGUCGCAGUGUCAGGAGCUGGGAAUGUACUUCUGUGGACACUACAAGCUGAAGAAUUCAUAUCAGAAUUGUGCAAACGGAAAUAUCCAAGAAAACAACUAUAGUCCCAGGUUACCUGGUUGGUAGCUGGUACAAUGGGGCCAGAGCCCACGCACAAGCAUUUCCCAGACUGAAAGCCCCUUGAGCACAGUGAACUGAGUUCGCCUCUGCCUUGCCCUGAAGGCCCCGCCCUGACCGGACCCUGGCCCUGUCUGAGACACAACAGUUAUAGGCCUGCAUCAGCUCUUCAGGCAUCGCCUUUUAUCCUGGUAUCAUGAUACAGUUCAGACAGCUUAACAGCCAAAUGGG